UACAUUUGGCUUUUUAAAAGCUCAACCUUAUUACUUGACAAGCAGUCAGUCCAUUUUUUUAAAAAAAAUAUAUAUGUUCAGAUGAAUAAUGCGUAUGAAUUCCCCAUCACCCAGUUCUGCAAUGUAAGGCAAAUCUCACUCUCCAGGAGGUGACAGAAAAGGUGUCUUAGUCACAGCACAACUAGCUAACCUGUACAUUGAGGUGUUAUGAGUGAGCUUACCUAAAGUGGCAUUUCCAUUGUAAGGAAAUGGCAUUCUCCAGACUCACGAUGCAUAGAAGCUGGCUGAGAAAAUAGGCAGUUUAAUUUAUAUUUCCUCUUCUGCUAACAUUCCAGUUAGCCACAAGACUCCCUUCCCCUCCUAGAUGCAUUAUGCCUCUCCCUGAAAGCAAGAUGGAUCAUGGAAAAUGAUGAUUUCUCCAAUGGUUUGCCUCUUCUUUGCAGAAUUUUCUGUCUGAUCAGAGAGAGAUCUCAAAAUUAUCAACCAGGGAAGAGCCAUGGAACUGAACUCAAAGGAGCAGCCCAGCUCCCCUCAGAAGCAGGGAGUGAAAGCUCGGUCCAAAUCCACAGAGGAGAUCCAGCCUGCCAAGAAGGCCUUCCACACUCCCCAGAAGUCAUUGCCCAAUCAGAUGAAUGGAGAUGAGUCCAAGGGCUCCUGUUCUGUCCCACCAUCUGAUGCCUCUCAGCAGGAGCAGACCUGAGGAGUAGGAACUGCUUGAGUGCCUGUAACAAAUGUGGAGUCCUGCUGCUCCUUGGCUUUGCGUUAUUUCUCAAACCUCCUGUCCUCCUGGAUGUCACUGUGGUUCUGUCUGUCCAGCUGUCGGUGUUUAACUGUUUGUCCUGUCAGUGGAAUGAGACCUGGGUAAAUAAAGUUUGUUUGAACAUC